ACUCCCUCACGUGCACACACUCACUUUCUACUCACCCUUGGCCCACUCACAAAUUAUUCCUGACAAUUAUUCCCUAACAACCCAUACUCUCACUAUUCUUCUUUAACAACUCACCCUUCCUCAUCUCUCUCUUAUAUGAAACACACACACUCAUCACGAAAGGUGGGGGAUUAUCUUUGCACAAGAGAGAGGGAACAGAAAGAAAACAACGGGCAGCCUUCUUCCUCAAUUCGAGUUUCCGUCUUUCUAGGAUAAAACAAAAAAACUUUCAGCCAUUCCUUAAAUUCAGCUUCAUCUUCAAUACAUAUCACUACAAAUCCACUUUGAAUCCACCUGAAAUUUCAUAAAAAUCAGUGACAAGGUAGCACAUAUCAGUCCCAAUCUCAAUCAUUAAAAAUAUUCAAGCCUAGUCGAGUAUGUCUGAGGUUCGUCGAACUCCGGCAAGCUACGAAUUCGAGGUUCUAGAGUCACGGUCUUGGUCGUCUUUUAGUUUUGAGCAAACAAAGUCAGAUCCUCCUUGCUAAAAGGUAUUUUUGUUUUGCUGAGCUUCAUUCUGCCUUUUGUCUAGCCUUUAUUUGGCACUCAUAGAGUAAUUCCCGUACAAUCAGGUAUUCAUCCUUUGAAUUCAAGUUAUUGUUCUAUAAAAAAAAUAAAGUGAAUCAAUUCUUCUAUUUUGCUAUGAAAUCUGGAUUCGUUUUCUGCUAUUCACAUACAGAAUCUCUCAUGUUUAGAUUAUUAUUUAGUAGAUUUGAAGUUACAUUGACUUUGUGAUGAUUUAUUUGUGCCUAGGUUAAUGAGUUGAUUUAUACAAGUGUGCAGUGCCUUCCAUAGAUUAUCAUAUCUACCAUCCUAUGUCUCAAAUGGCUUUGAUUAUUUAGUGAAUUAGAAAAGGAGUUGUUUAAGAUGUUUUUUUUUAGUCACUAACAGUAAAUAAAAAGAGUUGUUGAAUAUUGAAUCUGGAAAUGUAGAGCCAAAGCAUUCGAGCAGAAAUAAUGGUAGUUCACCUUAUGUUAUUGUAAAUUUCGAGUUUCAAUUUUAUGUACUAAGUUAGUGUGGUAAUUUCAAACUUGUUUGAUCACAUAGACAAAGGAAAAAAACGAGGAAAAAGACGAAGAGAAAGAAGAGUACAGAAAACGCCUAUGUUUCGUCUAAUGAUUUCGAAAUUGUCUAGUAGAAUAAUUUUGCUUCUUUACUAUUGUUUGAAAUCUGCUUAGCUCGAAUGUAGUUGAAUAAAUUAAACGGCUACAGUAAGUCAUUUUUUUUGUGCUAAAAGUUUUCAUUAGAAUGGGUGUUUGAUUUUAACAAUGAUACCUUAAUAUUAAGAAAUUUGCAUUUAGCAAGGAUUCUGGGCCGUUUUUUUUUAAGUGGAGAACCAAUUUGUUUUGGCCAGAAAUUAAAAGAGUUUGGUGUUUAAAAUGUUUUUCAUGUCUCAUCCUUUUGGUUAGUCACAUCAGUAAAGAUACAAGCAUAAAUUGUUUGGGUUGUAGCAUUAACUUUAGUUUUAAGUAUCCUUUUAAAUAAAUUCAUAAUAGUUAAAUCAUACAUUUCUUCCACAAUAAUCCUGAAAACUAGAUAAUCUAUGAACAUUUGUAGCUUGCUUUAGGCACGAUUAAUAAAUCAUCAUGGCUAUAGGUACAGUUCCCGUGGCAUAGUCGGGAUACGUAACCCCAAAUACAAGUGCGCAUUCACGCGACUUGACCAAUCAAUUUUGAAUAGUAAUAAAUGUGUUAUUAAUUGUGUACGUAUGCGUGGCAUGAUUCUUGACACGCCAAAUAAAGUGAGUGCACACAUGUACACGUGACUUAUUUCAAGAUAAUUUUCAUAAAUCUAAUCAAGCAAUAAAAACGGGCAUAGGUAAAACACGGAAACCAAUACAACACAGGUUAUCCAAAAAUAAUAUAAGCCAAAUGUAGUCAAUAAAGCGACCGUGCUAGAACCACGGGACUCGGGGAAUACCUUACACCUUCUCCCCGGUCAACA
rnacentral:lncRNA from 1 species